rnacentral:rRNA from 1 species
CUAAUACCGCAUAAUAGUAUUUGAUGCAUAUCAGAUAUUUGAAAGGCGCAAUUGCGUCACUAGAAGAUGCCCCCGCGGUGCAUUAGCUAGUUGGUGAGGUAAUGGCUCACCAAGGCAAUGAUGCAUAGCCGACCUGAGAGGGUGAUCGGCCACACUGGGACUGAGACACGGCCCAGACUCCUACGGGAGGCAGCAGUAGGGAAUCUUCGGCAAUGGACGCAAGUCUGACCGAGCAACGCCGCGUGAGUGAAGAAGGUUUUCGGAUCGUAAAACUCUGUUGUAAGAGAAGAACGUUGAUGAGAGUGGAAAGUUCAUCAAGUGACGGUAUCUUACCAGAAAGCCACGGCUAACUACGUGCCAGCAGCCGCGGUAAUACGUAGGUGGCAAGCGUUGUCCGGAUUUAUUGGGCGUAAAGCGAGCGCAGGCGGUUGAUUAAGUCUGAUGUGAAAGCCCCCGGCUCAACCGGGGAGGGUCAUUGGAAACUGGUCAACUUGAGUGCAGAAGAGGAGAGUGGAAUUCCAUGUGUAGCGGUGAAAUGCGUAGAUAUAUGGAGGAACACCAGUGGCGAAGGCGGCUCUCUGGUCUGUAACUGACGCUGAGGCUCGAAAGCGUGGGGAGCGAACAGGAUUAGAUACCCUGGUAGUCCACGCCGUAAACGAUGAGUGCUAAGUGUUGGAGGGUUUCCGCCCUUCAGUGCUGCAGCUAACGCAUUAAGCACUCCG